CGGGACGUGGCGCAGUCCGGUAGCGCACCUGAAUGGGGUUCAGGGGGUCGCCGGUUCGAAUCCGGCCGUCCCGA
rnacentral:tRNA from 5 species